rnacentral:Y_RNA from 1 species
GGCUGGUUCAAUUUACAACCAAUUGAUCACAACUAGUUACAGAUUUCUUUGUUCCUUCUCCAUUCCCAGUGCUUCACUUGACUAGCCAAAA